GACGAAACGCUGGCGGCGCGCCUAACACAUGCAAGUCGAACGGAGCUUAGAUUUUGAAGUUUUCGGUAUGGACGAAUGUAAGCUUAGUGGCGGACGGGUGAGUAAACACGUGAGCAACCUGCCUUCAGAGGGGGAGUAACAGCCGGAAACGGCUGCUAAUACCGCAUAAUAUUGCGGGGGCGACAUGCCCCUCGCAACCAAAAGGAGGCAAUCCGCUGAAAGAUGGGCUCGCGUCCGAUUAGCCAGUUGGCGGGGUAACGGCCCACCAAAGCGACGAUCGGUAGCCGGACUGAGAGGUUGAACGGCCACAUUGGGACUGAGACACGGCCCAGACUCCUACGGGAGGCAGCAGUGGGGGAUAUUGCACAAUGGGCGAAAAGCCUGAUGCAGCGACGCCGCGUGA
rnacentral:rRNA from 1 species